CAGUCGCCGCGGUAAUACGAAGGGUGCAAGCGUUACUCGGAAUUACUGGGCGUAAAGCGUGCGUGGGUGGUGGUUUAAGUCCGUUGUGAAAGCCCUGGGCUCAACCUGGGAAUUGCAGUGGAUACUGGAUCACUAGAGUGUGGUAGAGGAUAGUGGAAUUUCCGGUGUAGCAGUGAAAUGCGUAGAGAUCGGAAGGAACAUCUGUGGCGAAGGCGACUAUCUGGGCCAACACUGACACUGAGGCACGAAAGCGUGGGGAGCAAACAGGAUUAGAUACCCCAGUAGUCCCUGUCUCUUAUAC
rnacentral:rRNA from 1 species